rnacentral:rRNA from 1 species
AUGGACCAAUCCAUCCCUUUUUCCCGUGCAUAUGCAUCGGACUCGGAUGACGAUGGUCCUGAUGAAGAAGUUGAUGAGGAGGGGUUCACACCAAAGGAGGCCGAAGCAUUCAAGAAGGUAUUCGGGCGGGAUCACAAGACACCAUUGUUCAAGGAUCUUAGUCUCGCGGAUGAAGCCGUUGUGGAUGGUGGAAAAUGCAUAUCUCUUGGAGCUAGGCCAAGUUCUCACCGUGAUUUGGAAGACGGCAAGAACGGGAUAUAUCCCGGUUGUGAGUUUCAAUCCUUCUUGGAAUUGAAGAUGUGGCUCGACAACUACUCGGUUACACAUUAUCGUCCACAUAAAGUGGCCAACUCAGACGUGAAUGUGCGUUACACGGUCAAAUGUGAAGUGCCAACAUGUUCAUGGAUUGUGCGUGCAAGGCCAUGGAAAGGAGGUCCCACUUGGCGCAUAGUGAGUUGUCUACCAACUCACAUGUGCCGGCACAAGAAUGCGGAUGGCAAGCUUGUGUACCAACAACACAGACAACUCACGUCCGAGUUCAUUGCUUACAGGCUGUCCAACCAAAUAUCCACACUUCCAACAAUGAGCAUCAAGAGUGUCAUUGACCUUGUGAAAGCCAUCUUUCAUUACAAGGUGAAGUACGGCAAGGCAUGGAAGGCGAAGCAAGCCACAUUCAAGAUGUUGUAUGGCAAUUGGGAGGAAGCAUACAACCGACUCCCUAGGUUGUUGUUAGCUAUGGCCGCCACAAACCCAGGCAUGGUUCACGUGGUUGAGCCUCAUGGGCACCAAACAUGA